GGGCGGUUAGCUCAGUUGGUAGAGCAUCUCGUUUACACCGAGAGGGUCGGGAGUUCGAGCCUCUCACCGCCCACCA
rnacentral:tRNA from 1 species